UACGAAGGGGGCUAGCGUUGCUCGGAAUCACUGGGCGGAAAGCGCACGUAGGCGGACUCUUAAGUCGGUGGUGAAAUCCUGGAGCUCAACUCCAGAACUGCCUUCGAUACUGGGAGUCUCGAGUUCGGGAGAGGUGAGUGGAACUGCGAGUGUAGAGGUGAAAUUCGUAGAUAUUCGCAAGAACACCAGUGGCGAAGGCGGCUCACUGGCCCGAUACUGACGCUGAGAUGCGAAAGCGUGGGGAGCAAACAGG
rnacentral:rRNA from 1 species